rnacentral:rRNA from 1 species
GGGCCCGCACAAGCGGUGGAGCAUGUGGUUUAAUUCGAUGAUACGCGAGGAACCUUACCAGGGCUUAAAUGUAGAGCGACAGAGGUGGAAACACCUCCUUCUUCGGACGGUCUACAAGGUGCUGCAUGGUUGUCGUCAGCUCGUGCUGUGAAGUGUCGGGUUAAGUCCCAUAACGAGCGCAACCCCUAUUUCUAGUUGCCAGCGGUUCGGCCGGGGACUCUAAAGAAACUGCCCGCGCAAGCGGUGAGGAAGGUGGGGAUGACGUCAAAUCAUCACGGCCCUUACGUCCUGGGCCACACACGUGCUACAAUGGCCGGUACAGAGAGCAGCCACUACGCGAGUAGGAGCGAA